rnacentral:lncRNA from 1 species
UCGGAUACCGUCGAAUAUGGAUAUGGAAUCGGAUAGAGAAAAUAAAUAAAAAUCGGAUUCGGAUAUAUGCACUUUACUACCAUAUUAGAUUCGAAAACAGAUAUCCAUAUUGAUAUUUAAGCGAAUACGGAUAUUGGAUUGGAUAUCUCCAAUAUCGGUGUUCCCAUUUCCAUCCCUACAUGCUGCUUGCAGCACGUAGUGAGCAGCGACCAAGCGUGUCCAGGGAUGUCACGAGCUUGUGUUUUUGCCUACAGACCGAUGCCUACUAGACGCCCUGCUGAUUUAGCAACCAACCAGUCAGGGGCAAGCUCAGGAUAAAAUUUCAAAUAGUAUAAAAAAUUUACACCCAAAGUACAUAUUAAUAAUACAUAAUUGAGCACGGACAAUAUAAAUUGUUCAUAACUUGAAAAUGUUCAACAUAUAGACAUGGUUCGAACCUAGAGAUUACAUGCAAUCAACUUUCAGAAAUAUUUUCCUCAUUGUGAUACCAUAUUGUUGUGAAUCUUUUUCAAAAAAAUAUUGAUGAAUUUUCACUAACCUUGAUGGCUAAGGCUCGGUUGCCCUUCCCGGCACGCACCUUGUGCCUGGCUGCAUGCCUGCUGGAUGCGGCGGCCCUGGCCUGGCUGCCGCCUGCCUGCGCCUGGCCAUUGCCUGCCUGCGAUUGGCCGCCUGGCCGCCGCCCGCAACCCCCCUGGCCGCUGAGGCCGAGCCAGCGAGCAGAGCUGCCCUUGCCCCUUCGGCUGACCACCCCUACAGCCUGAUCGUAUGCCCUCAUCGCCGGUCACCGCCUCGCAGCCUCGCCGCCGAGCGGCGUGCCCCACGCCGCCUAGGGUUGCCGGUUGCGGUUGUCGGUUGGGAUGGGGAAUCCGGGCUGGGGCAGGUGAGGAGCGAGG